rnacentral:rRNA from 1 species
UACAGAGGUCCCAAGCGUUGUUCGGAUUUACUGGGCGUAAAGGGUGCGUAGGUGGUUGGGUAAGUCUGAUGUGAAAUCUCGGAGCUUAACUCCGAAACGGCAUUGGAUACUAUCCAGCUUGAGAGUUGGAGGGGGGACUGGAAUGCUCGGUGUAGCAGUGAAAUGCGUAGAUAUCGAGCGGAACACCAGUGGCGAAGGCGAGUCCCUGGACAACUUCUGACACUGAGGCACGAAAGCCAGGGGAG